AGAGUUUGAUCCUGGCUCAGGAUGAACGCUGGCGGCGUGCUUAACACAUGCAAGUCGAGCGAAGCACUUAUCAUUGAUUCUUCGGAGGAUUUGAUAUUUGACUGAGCGGCGGACGGGUGAGUAACGCGUGGGUAACCUGCCUCAUACAGGGGGAUAACAGUUAGAAAUGACUGCUAAUACCGCAUAAGACCACAGCACCGCAUGGUGCAGGGGUAAAAACUCCGGUGGUAUGAGAUGGACCCGCGUCUGAUUAGGUAGUUGGUGGGGUAACGGCCUACCAAGCCGACGAUCAGUAGCCGACCUGAGAGGGUGACCGGCCACAUUGGGACUGAGACACGGCCCAAACUCCUACGGGAGGCAGCAGUGGGGAAUAUUGCACAAUGGGGGAAACCCUGAUGCAGCGACGCCGCGUGGAGGAAGAAGGUCUUCGGAUUGUAAACUCCUGUUGUUGGGGAAGAUAAUGACGGUACCCAACAAGGAAGUGACGGCUAACUACGUGCCAGCAGCCGCGGUAAAACGUAGGUCACAAGCGUUGUCCGGAAUUACUGGGUGUAAAGGGAGCGCAGGCGGGAAGACAAGUUGGAAGUGAAAUCUAUGGGCUCAACCCAUAAACUGCUUUCAAAACUGUUUUUCUUGAGUAGUGCAGAGGUAGGCGGAAUUCCCGGUGUAGCGGUGGAAUGCGUAGAUAUCGGGAGGAACACCAGUGGCGAAGGCGGCCUACUGGGCACCAACUGACGCUGAGGCUCGAAAGUGUGGGUAGCAAACAGGAUUAGAUACCCUGGUAGUCCACACUGUAAACGAUGAUUACUAGGUGUUGGGGGAUUGACCCCCUCAGUGCCGCAGUUAACACAAUAAGUAAUCCACCUGGGGAGUACGACCGCAAGGUUGAAACUCAAAGGAAUUGACGGGGGCCCGCACAAGCAGUGGAGUAUGUGGUUUAAUUCGACGCAACGCGAAGAACCUUACCAAGUCUUGACAUCCUGCGACGAUGCUAGAAAUAGUAUUUUCCUUCGGGACGCAGAGACAGGUGGUGCAUGGUUGUCGUCAGCUCGUGUCGUGAGAUGUUGGGUUAAGUCCCGCAACGAGCGCAACCC
rnacentral:rRNA from 1 species